rnacentral:tRNA from 1 species
GGAGUAUUGUCUAGUGGUUAGAGUUCAGGACUUUAACUUCAGAGAUCUGGGUUCCAUUCCCAGCAUUCUCCC